rnacentral:lncRNA from 1 species
GCCCCCCUCCCAUCUCCUCCUCCCUCAAAACCUUGCAGCCACACCACCUAACCCUAGCCGCUCCCCAUCUCCUCCUCCCAAGGUGCCAUUCCCUGCCGCUCGGAUCUACGUCGCGUGGUGCAAAUCUCCAAUUGUUUUCGGUGGAGGGAAGAAGGGGGAAGGAAAGGGGGAGAAUCCAAGGUGAUUUCUGUGUUUAUCUCUUGUUCAUUUGUGCUGCAAUCCAAUUGAUUAGAUGUUGCGUAUGCGAUUUGGUAGAAGGGCUGUCCAGAAUUUUAGGGGGUGGACGAACAGCAGCAGUAUUAGUGGUUUCAGGGCAUUUUUCGUGGGAAAUUAAUGGGAAUCAGUUUGGGAAUCAUGUAGAACUUUGGCAUACCUUUCCAACGAGUAUUUAUGCGCUCAAUUUAGAGUUAUAAAUUAAAAGAUAUCACCGUUUGAAUCCGGGUAUGUGGCUGUGCAGAAAAACAGAUUUUCAGGUGGACGAACAGCAGCAGUAUUAGCGGUUUCUGGGGAUUUUUCGUGAGUAAUUAGUGUUAAUCAGUAUGAGAAUCAUGUAGGGCUUUUUCUUACCUUUCCAACAAGUACUUAUGCGCUCGAUUCGGAAUUAUAUUUUAAAAGUUAUCGCUGUUUGAAUCCGAGUAUGUCGCUGCCCAGAAGAGAAAAAAACAGAUUGCAGGGUUUAUCUUGUGGACCGUUUUGGGUAGUUAGAUGUUGGAAUUUAAUCAUAAAUUGUAUACAAAACUUAUGGGGAAUUUUAUAUAGUUGUCUCUGGAGUUUUUGUUUGUCAUCACUGCUGUCUUAAUUUUAAAGUUAUAGAAUUGUUAAGCAGCGCCGCUGCAGUUUGGUGGGUGUGGGGAGAAUUGUUACCCGCGGCGGGGUUUGAGACUGCGCGUAGGUGCGGCGUUGUUUUUGAGGCUUAUUAUGUGAAUUUGUUGCACUAAGUUGGGUGUCAAAACAGGUGGUGGACUUCCGGAUCGUACUUAGGG